rnacentral:rRNA from 1 species
AUGCCUCUGGAGGUGUCCGAUGUUAACCUGGACCAACCAGACCUUUCGGAGGUACCAUGGGAGACGAGGCUCGCUCUGGCUGAACGGCCUUGUCCGUUGGUGGUGAACCCCGAACAGAGGGCCCUUAUUGAGCCAGCUAUGAAAAAUCUAGACAAGUAUAUGGAAGAAAUCAGAGAGUAUUGGAAGAAGAUCGAUGAGCUAAAUGCAACCCUUCCUGAGAAGGAUCAGUUCUUCACUGUUUCUAUUCAACCUCGAUGUCCAGAACCAGCUUCCUUUUUCACGUACUACCGACUCUAUGCAUUGGACAACACCAAUCCAACUCCCCUUACAAGCAAACGAUUCACAGCGCCAAGAAAAGACUACCCGGUAUUGACUAUGCUCCAAAUAUUCUCAUUCAGAUAUGUUGGCGACUUCCUGGGUGAUCAGAGCAUGCUAGUAUAUGGAUUCAUUGCUAUCCGGGAUGAGUUGGAUUGUCUGCGCAAUUACAUCUUCAACUGUACUAGAGAGCAGGCGCACGAGAUUACACCGGAUUCCCGGGCAUUGCCGCUCAUAUCUCCUGUUCGUGGGAACUCUAUUCUUGAUGGUGUUGUUCUUGAGUACAGCCUGAAGGUCAAGUCUAAUGGCAGUGACAACGCUGAGAUGGAUUAUGUAUUAGCUGAUGGUUGCAUUGAAUACACAGAUCAUAUGAUUCUGCGUGGUACUACACUGAAGUCGAGGCUUUUUGGCAAGCUUGGCCCUGUUGACUUCCAUUAUGCUUUCCUUAGGCAGGGCAUUGAAGCAACAAUUGACAUUGAGAUUCCAAUGGCUAGUCCAGCUUGGGGCCUGAAGGCAGUGACUGCUUUUACAAGUGGACUCUCAGAUGCAAUUGUGCUGUAUGAUGGGUCUACUAAUUCCUCUCCUACACAAUCAGUGUUCCCUAUAUCAUCAGUUGUUGCUGUUCAAUUGGGUCAUGAGCUAAAGCUUAAAUUUGACAUCACCUCCAAGGAUAUUGUGCCCAAGGGGUGUGCGAGGAGGUUCGUGCCCCAGAAGGCAGCGUCGGCGCAAUACCAAAGGCCUGAUGUUGUGAUGGAUGGAGAGGCGGAACCAAAGACAUAUUCCCGCUUCCUCACAUUCAUUUCACAGAAAUGUUCAUUUGACAGUGGUAAAGUCUCGAUCGGUGAUAAGUUCAAAGCUGAGGUUACAGUGACCUGGUCCACCAUGGGGCCGUAUUGA